rnacentral:rRNA from 1 species
CGCUUAAAGAGUUUAAUUUUAAGUAAGACCUGCUCAAUGUAAUAAUAAAUAGCUGCAGUAUAUUGACUGUACAAAGGUAGCAUAAUAAUUAGUCUAUUAAUUGUAGUCUGGAAUGAAUGGUUUAACAAGAAAAUAACUUUUUUACCUUUAAAUUUGAAUUUUAAUUAUCAGUAAAAAUGCUGAUAUGAUACAAAAAGACGAGAAGACCCUAUAAAGUUUAAUAUUUGAAAAUGAAAUAUACAUUUAAAAAAUAUUUGGUUGGGGCGACUUUUUUUAUUAAACAAUUUAUUUAAAUACUUUAAUAGAAGUAAAAAGAUCCUCUAAUAGUGAUUAAUAGAAUAAAUUACUUUAGGGAUAACAGCGUAAUAUCUUCUUAGAGUACUUAUCGAUGAGGAUGUUUGCGACCUCGAUGUUGAAUUAGAAUUUCUUAUUGGCGUAGGGGCUAAAUAAGAUAGACUGUUCGUCUAUUAAAUUUCUACA